UUUUUGAGAACCUUCUGACCUUUUUGGAAUAAAUCUGAAUCCAGAGAUGCUGGAUUCUUUCUGCAGGAUUCUGGGUUCAGAAUUGAAUGCUCAGAUGCUGCUCUAUGGCAUUAAAAAAAAUGAAUUGUUGUUAACCUCUAAUUUCAGCUAAGGCUGCAAUCUUGUAGAUGAAAGUUCUGUAGGACUGAGGAAAUGCAUGGAGGUUUCUGAUCCAAUUCUUAUUUGCAACACUAUUCUAGCUUCUGGAAACAGUUGAUUGUAUUGCUUCAAUCGUGAAUGAAAAUGGCUGCUAACAAACUAGAAAGGGGGUAAUUCAUUUUAAG
rnacentral:misc_RNA from 1 species